GAUGAUAAUUUUAUAUAGUUGACUACUGGGAGUAUUACGUGUAUAACAAAUUCUUCAUUACAUCUAUAGUUAUGAUAUUAGUCUUUUUUCUGCCCAUUUUAACAUGGUGUUGUGGAGGUAAUAAGAGGGAUAUCUUCCUUUUAUUUAUGAUUAUGAUUAUUAUAAUUUCGAUUCUCUUGAUGUCAUAUUACCUAGAUCGCAUAAAAGAAACAAUAGAAAGUUUUAUUUCAAUUUUACAAUAUGUAUUGGCUGCAUUCAUACCAUAUUUGGUGUACUGUCUUGUUCCUG